AUGGAUUGGUCAUCUCUCACCUGUUCCGCCGCCGUCCUAAUCAUUCUGCUCCUGCCGUUGGGUGCGUCUGAUGACCGGCUUGUCCCCAGCAAGCCGCUCUCCCCUGGCAUAACCGUCGUCUCGGAUGGCGGUGACUUCGCCUUGGGCUUCUUCUUCUCAUCCGGCUCGACGCCGUCCAACCUGUACCUUGGCAUCUGGUACAGCAGCAUCCCCGAGCUCACUGUGGUGUGGGUUGCCAACCGGGGAACCCCAGUCACAAAUGGUACCUCCUCUGCACCGAUUCUCACCCUCACCAAUGCCUCCAAUCUUGUUCUCUCUGACAGUGAUGGUGGUCAAGUUGUUUGGAUGACCAAUGUGGGCGCUGCCUCGAGCUCCUCUUCGACAGAGGCGGUGCUUCUGAACACCGGUAACCUCAUCAUUCGGUCACCCAACGGCACCAUGUUGUGGCAGAGUUUCGACCACCCAACCGACACGUUCCUGCCCGGCAUGAAGAUGCGAAUCAGGUAUAGGACACGCGCCGGUGAGCGCCUGGUGUCCUGGAAAGACGCUGGAGACCCCUCGCCUGGGAGCUUCUCCUACGGGUGCGAUCCGGCCACGUCCAUCCAGAUGUUCCUUUGGGACGGGUCGCGCCCGGUGUACCGCAGCACCCCGUGGACCGGGUUCCGGGUGAAGAGCGAAGACGAGUACCUGUUGACAAAAACCAGUGCUAUCAUCAUAAACCUGGCUUUCGUCAACAACGAUGAGGAGAGCUACACGAUGUUUACCGUCUCUGAUGGUGCCUGGCACACCAGGUUCGUGCUGACCUACUCCGGCAAGCUCCAGUUCCAAAGCUGGAACAGUAGUUCUUCCACGUGGGUAGUUUUUGGGCAGUGGUCACCCCACGAAUGCAACCGCUACGGCUACUGUGGCCCGAAUGGCUAUUGCGAUGAGACGGUGUUGCCUAUUCCGACGUGCAAGUGCUUUGACGGUUUCAAGCCGACGAGAACGGAGGAGUGGGACAAUGGUGAGUUCUGGAAAGGGUGCCAACGGAAAGAGGCAUUGCGUUGCAGCGAUGGUUUUGUGCCAUUGUCGGGGAUGAAGCCACCGGAUAGGUUCGCGAUCGUCGGAAACACGUCGUUGAGGGAGUGCGCCGCGGCAUGUGGUCGCAACUGCUCCUGCAUGGCGUAUGCAUACGCCAACCUAAGCAGCAGCAUUGAAAACAGAGACCUGACAAGGUGUUUGGUGUGGGUCGGGGAGUUGGUUGACACCGGGAGGCUAGGCGCAAGCACCGCCAGCGACACACUCUAUCUACGGCUUGCAGGCUUAGAUGCAGCAACUGGUAAAAGGACAAGGAGCAAUGCCGUGAAAGUUGUGUUGGCGGUUUUAGGAGGUGCUGCUCUGAUACUCAUAUGCAUUUCCAUUGCAUGGUUGAAAUUCAAAGGCAACGACAGAAACCAGGAAAAACACAAGAAGUUGCCAUCGGAUGGUUCAAGUGAUCUUGAAUUUCCAUUUAUAAGAUUUGAGGAAAUUGCCCUAGCAACACACAACUUCUCCGAAACAUGUAUGAUUGGACAUGGAGGCUUUGGCAAAGUUUAUAAGGGAACAGUAGGUGGUCAAGAAAUUGCUGUCAAAAGGCUAAGUAGGGAUUCUCAACAAGGAGCAAAUGAAUUCAGGAAUGAAGUAAUUCUUAUUGCCAAAUUGCAACACAAAAAUUUGGUUCGACUUCUUGGAUGUUGUGACAAGGGAGAUGAAAAGUUAUUGAUCUAUGAGUAUUUGCCUAAUAAAAGCUUCCCUUUUUGGUAUAUUCUAGCAACACACCAAUUUUCAUGUAACAACUCAACAUAUUUUUCUUACAUUUGCUUUUGUCUUAAGAUGAUUCAAGAAAACAUUUGUUGGAUUGGGGGACACGGUUAA
rnacentral:rRNA from 1 species